UGCCACGCUUCUAGGCAAAGUCUUUGACCAUAGCGAUUGUUUGUGGUAAUUACUUUAGAGUUUUCCCACUACAAUCGCUAUGGUCAAAGACUUAAUUACCGCAAACAAUCGCUAUGGUCAAAGACUUUGCCUAGAAGCGUGGCAUAUAAAUAUG
rnacentral:miRNA from 1 species